AUACGGAGGGUGCGAGCGUUAAUCGGAAUUACUGGGCGUAAAGCGUGCGUAGGCGGUUUGCUAAGUCAGAUGUGAAAGCCCCGGGCUUAACCUGGGAACUGCAUUUGAUACUGGCAGACUAGAGUAUGAUAGAGGGGGGUAGAAUUCCUGGUGUAGCGGUGAAAUGCGUAGAUAUCAGGAGGAAUACCAGUGGCGAAGGCGGCCCCCUGGAUCAAUACUGACGCUGAGGUACGAAAGCGUGGGGAGCAAACAGGAUUAGAAACCCUGGUAGUCC
rnacentral:rRNA from 1 species